UGCCAUAGCCUGUUAAUCCUAUUAUGGACUGCGCCUAUCUAUGUGUUCAAUACUUACUGUUAAGAAUUACCUAUUUUCCUGAACUUAAAUAACUACUUAAGCACGUAGAUAGCUGGCCAUAUGUACUUCUAGGGUGCAGCAGAAUUCACGUGUAAUUUACAUUUUGAUACCCUAUUUGUUUAAAUGGUUUGCUGUUAUCACUUGUAGCACUAGUAAUGUUUGCAUGUUCAUAGAUAGACAACUGUCAAUUUUAUAUGAGGGACACCGUCCUUUUAACUUAUAUAUGUGUUGGAAUCAUUUUGCUUACAUCAAAGAAAUUUACAUAUGUCCGUGUUGCUGGUAAACGGUACCGACUUGUUACUUUAAUACGCUGCCAAGAACUUCUUAGUUUUACUAGUUCAUGUGUAAUUAAAUACGUUGCCAAAACCGAUUAGUUUUACUAGUUUGAUGUUAGUUUCUUAUGGCUCUUUCAAAACUUUCUUUAUUGAUUGCUAGCAAUCAAGUUUGUAGGAUCCAACUGAAACUCCGUUGGCACAACAGGAUCGAAUUGGAAGUCCAAUUGCACAGUAGGAUCCAAGAGAAACUCCAAUGCCACAACAGGUUCCUUUUGCAAAACUUGUUUGUUUAACUACUUUGCUGCUGCAACCGGUUGCUCUAAUCACGUUAUUGGCUACUCAACUUUUCAGGAUCCAAGAGAAACUCCAAUGCCA